GACGAACGCUGGCGGCGUGCUUAACACAUGCAAGUCGAACGGACAGGCCCUGCUUUUGUGGGGUGCUCGAGUGGCGAACGGGUGAGUAACACGUGAGUAACCUGCCCUUGACUUUGGGAUAACUUCAGGAAACUGGGGCUAAUACCGGAUAGGAGCUCCUGCUGCAUGGUGGGGGUUGGAAAGUUUCGGCGGUUGGGGAUGGACUGGCGGCUUAUCAGCUUGUUGGUGGGGUAGUGGCUUACCAAGGCUUUGACGGGUAGCCGGCCUGAGAGGGUGACCGGCGACAUUGGGACUAAGAGACGGCCCAGACUCCUACGGGAGGCAGCAGUGGGGAAUAUGGCACAAUGGGCGGAAGCCAGAUGCAGCAACGCCGCGUGCGGGAUGACGGCCUUCGGGUUGUAAACCGCUUUCGCCUGUGACGAAGCGGGAGUGACGGUAAUGGGUAAAGAAGCACCGGCUAACUACGUG
rnacentral:rRNA from 1 species